rnacentral:sRNA from 1 species
AUUUUGUGGUUUGUUUAGAUAAUUAAAUUAAGAGUGUUAUAGCGCUGGAAAUGUAUUGGCAAGUUCAUUGACUGACUGGCUGACUUGACUUGACUGUUCUUCGCGUAAACGUUUGGAGAUGGUGGAAUUUUCGGAGCAUUUACGUAUUUCCUCAUGCAAGUCAUAACUUAAUUUGGCUAUUUUCAAUUGUAAAGGUGGUACAGGAAAAGCAGAACUGUUCGAAUACUUGCCACCCACCUCAGCUUCGGAUUUGACGAAUUCCACAAAACUCAUUAAAGGAGCUGGAUUGGCCAUUACUACACAUAUGUGAUGGAUAAGGAUAUUUUUGAUGUCUCUGGGUGUGACGUCAAUAGACAAAUUAAUAGUAAUUUAGUUGUUUAAACGAAGAAAAAACACAGGCAAUUCCGCAGCACCAAGUUGUCACUACACAACCAUACAACCAGCGAUAAUUAUUAUAAUUGUAUAUAUUUAGUAUAUUUUUUCGUAUCUAUUAUCAUCAAACACCAAACCACUAGACGUAUUGUCCGACCGUACUCUGACAACGCAAAUGUAACAUGUAAACACCCAAAGGGAUAGUAGAAAAAAAUGCACCCACUCUGCUGUUGUUGCUGCUGCCAAUGCAAUGGGGCUAAUUUUACAUCAGUACAUCAAUAAGUCUGGCCACCUCCCUUUGAAACACCGCGCCCGCGCUUGCACUGAUGGCCAGGUGUAAACUGAAGAUGUGCAGAGGCAAAAUGUAUGUGCAAAAAAACUCUUGCCUUUUGCUAUUAUUGUUGUUGUUGUUGCUAGCGCCGCUGUUUGCCUUCUCGGUCGUUCAAUGCACUUUUUUUCGUAAUAAAGUGAAAGUUAUGUAUAUGUGCGCUUUGCCAAUAUUCAAUAUGUAAUCAAUAAUUGUAUAAUUUUGCCUUUUCGGUCUCUAAUUUAGUAUUAAUUAGGUUUUUAGACCACUUUCACUAUGCUUCCGCAAUUUCGAAGGACUGCAGAAAAUUUUUUCUUCUCAAGGGUAUUUUGUAUUUUUUCUUUCUCACACACUGACACAACCACAAAUGAGUUAAGUAGUUCUUUCAUUUAUUGAAUAUAUAGUUAACGCUGCAAUAUCACUA